rnacentral:rRNA from 1 species
UGGGGAAUAUUGGACAAUGGGCGAAAGCCUGAUCCAGCCAUGCCGCGUGUGUGAAGAAGGUCUUCGGAUUGUAAAGCACUUUAAGUUGGGAGGAAGGGCAUUUACCUAAUACGUAAGUGUUUUGACGUUACCGACAGAAUAAGCACCGGCUAACUCUGUGCCAGCAGCCGCGGUAAUACAGAGGGUGCAAGCGUUAAUCGGAAUUACUGGGCGUAAAGCGCGCGUAGGUGGUUUGUUAAGUUGGAUGUGAAAUCCCCGGGCUCAACCUGGGAACUGCAUUCAAAACUGACAAGCUAGAGUAUGGUAGAGGGUGGUGGAAUUUCCUGUGUAGCGGUGAAAUGCGUAGAUAUAGGAAGGAACACCAGUGGCGAAGGCGACCACCUGGACUGAUACUGACACUGAGGUGCGAAAGCGUGGGGAGCAAACAGGAUUAGAUACCCGCGUAGUCCCUGAGCGGGCUGGCAAGGCGCAU